UACGUAGGGGGCGAGCGUUGUCCGGAAUGACUGGGCGUAAAGGGUGUGUAGGCGGUUUAUUAAGUUAGAAGUGAAAUACCUAGGGCUUAACCCAGGUGCUGCUUCUAAAACUGAUAGACUUGAGUGCUGGAGAGGCAAUCGGAAUUCCGUGUGUAGCGGUGAAAUGCGUAGAUAUACGGAGGAACACCAGUGGCGAAGGCGGAUUGCUGGACAGUAACUGACGCUGAGGCGCGAAAGCGUGGGGAGCAAACAGG
rnacentral:rRNA from 1 species